AACGAACGCUGGCGGCAUGCCUAACACAUGCAAGUCGAACGAGAUCUUCGGGUCUUGUGGCGCACGGGUGCGUAACGCGUGGGAAUCUGCCCUUUGGUUCGGAAUAACAGUUGGAAACGACUGCUAAUACCGGAUGAUGACGAUAGUCCAAAGAUUUAUCGCCGGAGAAUGAGCCCGCGUAGGAUUAGCUAGUUGGUGUGGUAAAGGCGCACCAAGGCGACGAUCCUUAGCUGGUCUGAGAGGAUGAUCAGCCACACUGGGACUGAGACACGGCCCAGACUCCUACGGGAGGCAGCAGUGGGGAAUAUUGGACAAUGGGCGAAAGCCUGAUCCAGCAAUGCCGCGUGAGUGAUGAAGGCCUUAGGGUUGUAAAGCUCUUUUACCCGGGAUGAUAAUGACAGUACCGGGAGAAUAAGCUCCGGCUAACUCCGUGCCAGCAGCCGCCGUAA
rnacentral:rRNA from 1 species